GGCCUUGUAGCUCAGACGGUAGAGCAUCGUUCUAAAAAUGCGAAGGUCGCGGGUUCGAUUCCCACCGCGGUCA
rnacentral:tRNA from 1 species